AGCGUACACGGUGGAUGCCCUGGCAGUCAGAGGCGAUGAAGGACGUGCUAAUCUGCGAUAAGCGUCGGUAAGGUGAUAUGAACCGUUAUAACCGGCGAUUUCCGAAUGGGGAAACCCAGUGUGUUUCGACACACUAUCAUUAACUGAAUCCAUAGGUUAAUGAGGCGAACCGGGGGAACUGAAACAUCUAAGUACCCCGAGGAAAAGAAAUCAACCGAGAUUCCCCCAGUAGCGGCGAGCGAACGGGGAGCAGCCCAGAGCCUGAAUCAGUGUGUGUGUUAGUGGAAGCGUCUGGAAAGGCGCGCGAUACAGGGUGACAGCCCCGUACACAAAAAUGCACAUGCUGUGAGCUCGAUGAGUAGGGCGGGACACGUGGUAUCCUGUCUGAAUAUGGGGGGACCAUCCUCCAAGGCUAAAUACUCCUGACUGACCGAUAGUGAACCAGUACCGUGAGGGAAAGGCGAAAAGAACCCCGGCGAGGGGAGUGAAAAAGAACCUGAAACCGUGUACGUACAAGCAGUGGGAGCACGCUUAGGCGUGUGACUGCGUACCUUUUGUAUAAUGGGUCAGCGACUUAUAUUCUGUAGCAAGGUUAACCGAAUAGGGGAGCCGAAGGGAAACCGAGUCUUAACUGGGCGUUAAGUUGCAGGGUAUAGACCCGAAACCCGGUGAUCUAGCCAUGGGCAGGUUGAAGGUUGGGUAACACUAACUGGAGGACCGAACCGACUAAUGUUGAAAAAUUAGCGGAUGACUUGUGGCUGGGGGUGAAAGGCCAAUCAAACCGGGAGAUAGCUGGUUCUCCCCGAAAGCUAUUUAGGUAGCGCCUCGUGAAUUCAUCUCCGGGGGUAGAGCACUGUUUCGGCAAGGGGGUCAUCCCGACUUACCAACCCGAUGCAAACUGCGAAUACCGGAGAAUGUUAUCACGGGAGACACACGGCGGGUGCUAACGUCCGUCGUGAAGAGGGAAACAACCCAGACCGCCAGCUAAGGUCCCAAAGUCAUGGUUAAGUGGGAAACGAUGUGGGAAGGCCCAGACAGCCAGGAUGUUGGCUUAGAAGCAGCCAUCAUUUAAAGAAAGCGUAAUAGCUCACUGGUCGAGUCGGCCUGCGCGGAAGAUGUAACGGGGCUAAACCAUGCACCGAAGCUGCGGCAGCGACGCUUAUGCGUUGUUGGGUAGGGGAGCGUUCUGUAAGCCUGUGAAGGUGUGCUGUGAGGCAUGCUGGAGGUAUCAGAAGUGCGAAUGCUGACAUAAGUAACGAUAAAGCGGGUGAAAAGCCCGCUCGCCGGAAGACCAAGGGUUCCUGUCCAACGUUAAUCGGGGCAGGGUGAGUCGACCCCUAAGGCGAGGCCGAAAGGCGUAGUCGAUGGGAAACAGGUUAAUAUUCCUGUACUUGGUGUUACUGCGAAGGGGGGACGGAGAAGGCUAUGUUGGCCGGGCGACGGUUGUCCCGGUUUAAGCGUGUAGGCUGGUUUUCCAGGCAAAUCCGGAAAAUCAAGGCUGAGGCGUGAUGACGAGGCACUACGGUGCUGAAGCAACAAAUGCCCUGCUUCCAGGAAAAGCCUCUAAGCAUCAGGUAACAUCAAAUCGUACCCCAAACCGACACAGGUGGUCAGGUAGAGAAUACCAAGGCGCUUGAGAGAACUCGGGUGAAGGAACUAGGCAAAAUGGUGCCGUAACUUCGGGAGAAGGCACGCUGAUAUGUAGGUGAAGUCCCUUGCGGAUGGAGCUGAAAUCAGUCGAAGAUACCAGCUGGCUGCAACUGUUUAUUAAAAACACAGCACUGUGCAAACACGAAAGUGGACGUAUACGGUGUGACGCCUGCCCGGUGCCGGAAGGUUAAUUGAUGGGGUCAGCGCAAGCGAAGCUCUUGAUCGAAGCCCCGGUAAACGGCGGCCGUAACUAUAACGGUCCUAAGGUAGCGAAAUUCCUUGUCGGGUAAGUUCCGACCUGCACGAAUGGCGUAAUGAUGGCCAGGCUGUCUCCACCCGAGACUCAGUGAAAUUGAACUCGCUGUGAAGAUGCAGUGUACCCGCGGCAAGACGGAAAGACCCCGUGAACCUUUACUAUAGCUUGACACUGAACAUUGAGCCUUGAUGUGUAGGAUAGGUGGGAGGCUUUGAAGUGUGGACGCCAGUCUGCAUGGAGCCGACCUUGAAAUACCACCCUUUAAUGUUUGAUGUUCUAACGUUGACCCCUAAUCGGGGUUGCGGACAGUGUCUGGUGGGUAGUUUGACUGGGGCGGUCUCCUCCUAAAGAGUAACGGAGGAGCACGAAGGUUGGCUAAUCCUGGUCGGACAUCAGGAGGUUAGUGCAAUGGCAUAAGCCAGCUUGACUGCGAGCGUGACGGCGCGAGCAGGUGCGAAAGCAGGUCAUAGUGAUCCGGUGGUUCUGAAUGGAAGGGCCAUCGCUCAACGGAUAAAAGGUACUCCGGGGAUAACAGGCUGAUACCGCCCAAGAGUUCAUAUCGACGGCGGUGUUUGGCACCUCGAUGUCGGCUCAUCACAUCCUGGGGCUGAAGUAGGUCCCAAGGGUAUGGCUGUUCGCCAUUUAAAGUGGUACGCGAGCUGGGUUUAGAACGUCGUGAGACAGUUCGGUCCCUAUCUGCCGUGGGCGCUGGAGAACUGAGGGGGGCUGCUCCUAGUACGAGAGGACCGGAGUGGACGCAUCACUGGUGUUCGGGUUGUCAUGCCAAUGGCACUGCCCGGUAGCUAAAUGCGGAAGAGAUAAGUGCUGAAAGCAUCUAAGCACGAAACUUGCCCCGAGAUGAGUUCUCCCUGACUCCUUGA
rnacentral:rRNA from 1 species